AUUGAACGCUGGCGGCAUGCCUUACACAUGCAAGUCGAACGGCAGCACGGGUGCUUGCACCUGGUGGCGAGUGGCGAACGGGUGAGUAAUAUAUCGGAACGUACCUUAUCGUGGGGGAUAACGCAGCGAAAGCUGUGCUAAUACCGCAUAAGCCCUAAGGGGGAAAGCAGGGGACCGUAAGGCCUUGCGCGAUUAGAGCGGCCGAUACCUGAUUAGCUAGUUGGUGAGGUAAAGGCUCACCAAGGCAACGAUCAGUAGCUGGUCUGAGAGGACGAUCAGCCACACUGGGACUGAGACACGGCCCAGACUCCUACGGGAGGCAGCAGUGGGGAAUUUUGGACAAUGGGGGCAACCCUGAUCCAGCAAUGCCGCGUGAGUGAAGAAGGCCUUCGGGUUGUAAAGCUCUUUUGUCAGGGAAGAAACAGCAGCUCUAAUACAGUAUGCGAAUGACGGUACCUGAAGAAUAAGCACCGGCUAACUACGUGCCAGCAGCCGCCGCGG
rnacentral:rRNA from 1 species